AUUGAACGCUGGCGGCAUGCCUUACACAUGCAAGUCGAACGGCAGCGGGGGAGAAGCUUGCUUUUCCUGCCGGCGAGUGGCGAACGGGUGAGUAAUACAUCGGAACGUGCCCUGUAGUGGGGGAUAACUAGUCGAAAGAUUAGCUAAUACCGCAUACGACCUGAGGGUGAAAGUGGGGGACCGCAAGGCCUCAUGCUAUAGGAGCGGCCGAUGUCUGAUUAGCUAGUUGGUGGGGUAAAGGCCUACCAAGGCGACGAUCAGUAGCUGGUCUAAGAGGACGAUCAGCCACACUGGGACUGAGACACGGCCCAGACUCCUACGGGAGGCAGCAGUGGGGAAUUUUGGACAAUGGGCGAAAGCCUGAUCCAGCAAUGCCGCGUGUGUGAAGAAGGCCUUCGGGUUGUAAAGCACUUUUGUCCGGAGAGAAAUGGCUCUGGUUAAUACCUGGGGUCGAUGACGGUACCGGAAGAAUAAGGACCGGCUAACUACGUGCCAGCAGCCGCUGUAA
rnacentral:rRNA from 1 species